rnacentral:rRNA from 1 species
AAUAGAUACCCUGGUAGUCCACGCCGUAAACGAUGUCGACUUGGAGGUUGUUCCCUUGAGGAGUGGCUUCCGGAGCUAACGCGUUAAGUCGACCGCCUGGGGAGUACGGCCGCAAGGUUAAAACUCAAAUGAAUUGACGGGGGCCCGCACAAGCGGUGGAGCAUGUGGUUUAAUUCGAUGCAACGCGAAGAACCUUACCUACUCUUGACAUCCACGGAACUUAGCAGAGAUGCUUUGGUGCCUUCGGGAACCGUGAGACAGGUGCUGCAUGGCUGUCGUCAGCUCGUGUUGUGAAUGUUGGGUUAAGUCCCGCAACGAGCGCAACCCUUAUCCUUUGUUGCCAGCGGUUAGGCCGGGAACUCAAAGGAGACUGCCAGUGAUAAACUGGAGGAAGGUGGGGAUGACGUCAAGUCAUCAUGGCCCUUACGAGUAGGGCUACACACGUGCUACAAUGGCGCAUACAAAGAGAAGCGACCUCGCGAGAGCAAGCGGACCUCAUAAAGUGCGUCGUAGUCCGGAUUGGAGUCUGC